rnacentral:rRNA from 1 species
CCUACGGGAGGCAGCAGUGAGGAAUAUUGGUCAAUGGACGAGAGUCUGAACCAGCCAAGUAGCGUGAAGGAUGACUGCCCUAUGGGUUGUAAACUUCUUUUAUAUGGGAAUAAAAUGUGCCACGUGUGGGAUUUUGUAUGUACCAUAUGAAUAAGGAUCGGCUAACGCCGUGCCAGCAGCCGCGGGAAUACGGAGGAUCCGAGCGUUAUCCGGAUUUAUUGGGUUUAAAGGGAGCGUAGGUGGAUUGUUAAGUCAGUUGUGAAAGUUUGCGGCUCAACCGUAAAAUUGCAGUUGAAACUGGCAGUCUUGAGUACAGUAGAGGUGGGCGGAAUUCGUGGUGUAGCGGUGAAAUGCUUAGAUAUCACGAAGAACUCCGAUUGCGAAGGCAGUUCACUGGACUGCAACUGACACUGAGGCUCGAAAGUGUGGGUAUCAAACAGGAUUAGAUACCCUAGUAGUC